ensembl:snRNA U6 U6 spliceosomal RNA
GUGCUCGCUUUGGUGGCACAUACCCUAAAAUUGGAACGAUACAGAGAAGAUUAGCAUGGCCCCUGCACAAGGAUGACACACAAACUUGUGAAACGUUACAUAUUUAC